GAGAGAAAAAAAUCAAAUCCUAAAACUAUUAUUUUUCUCUUCUCCAAUGCUUCCAAGAUUCCAUUUCUUGCAUCGGUAGCGCCGAUCAACUAGAUCUUUUCAUAUAAUCAUUGUUACCUUUCUAGAUUCCUAGUUUCUUUAUUGAUUUUUGAGUUCAUUGGAGUUUAAAACUCCCUUCUGCCUAUGGGCUCAGACUCUGUUGUACCAACAACCCUUCUUUAACAUUCUCCCGUCUUUGUUAACCACCCCUUCCAUUUCCUUUGGGACCUUCUCUAUCAAAUACAUCAGAGUGUUGUAUCUACGUCCUUUCGCUGCCAGCAUGUGCGCUGCUUCAUUGGCCUUCUGAGAUUUGAUUUUAUUGAUUACUGUUAAAGCAUCUCCUUCAAUGCUAACCUCUCAGAAUCCUAGUUCAUCAACAAAAAUGACCACCUAAAAACAUGCCCUUACUUCUGCCAUGGUUGGGUUUGUGACAUUCAACCACUAGAAUGAAAUUUGGAUGUCGUGUCUACAGUAUACCGACAGAAACACGACUAAUAGGGUCUCUAAAUUUUGCAACCCCGGACCAUCGUGCAAGAUACGACAACAUUCGAUAAUGACCACUCUCGGUCUGUAACGAAAUUGAUAUUUACACUCUUGAUAUGCUUAAUAUAUGGGAUGUUGUAUGAAUUAUUUUGAUGCUAUUGGUUGGAAUUCAUUUGCAAAUAUUUCAUGUGCUGUAUAUUAUGAAUUAAUCUAUGAGUUCUAUGGAACAUUUAGCUUCAAUAUUACUGCAUUGUGAACUGUUGAAACUCGAGAUGUUGUCUAUUUUUGUUUACUUGGUAAAUAUUUUAGGAUGUCGAUUUCAGAUUUUAACAUUGCCAUGGGUUUCGCUAACCCUGAUGGUGUUCAAACUAAUUCCUACCAUACUGCUUUAUUGGAUAUACCAAGUAAUUUCAAUGCCAAUGAUGCUUAUUCUUCUUUAACUCAAUCUAGGGAUCAUCUUUAUAAUCCCAAGACCUCUAAGGACUUGUUAGUGCAUGAACCAGCUUUAAGGUAUAUUCAUCUUUUUUUAGCUUUUAGCUAUUCAGGUCGAAGUGAUUCAUCAUCUGUUUAACCAAGACAGAAUUAUUUUUCUUUUGGUGUGUGCAUUUUGGAUAUAAGGUUAAUUUAGGAUAUUGGUUUGCACGAAAUUUUCAUGUUGUUUUACGCUCUAAUCAGCCACUCAUACUUGGCUCAUAUAUUACAAAUUUAGUCUCCCAAAAUUUUCUCUCUGAGGUUGAUUUUUCUAUCUUUACGUGUACAUAUACUAUGGAUCAUCUAGAUAAGAAUUGUUUGGAUUCUAUGAGCUUCCUUGCUGGCACCCCUAUUGUGUAUUAUUUUGUUCCUUCAGGUAUACGAAUUGCUCGCAAUAAUGGGGUUUUUUGCCAGCGUCACAACUUCACUACUAGAGAGCAAGAGGAGCAGCCUCCUUCAUCUGUAGAGGCACGUUUAAGCUGUAUCAAAGCUUACCUUGAGACAAUGGAAACCCAAGUCUCCACGAUUCUCGACAUCUUGCAGAGUAGUCAUCCCUAACACUGACAACCACGUUAGAUAUACACGGGGAGUAUACUUGACCUUUCUCUUUAUUAUACUUUAAUUCUUAUACAAUAUGCUUGAAGACAAACAUAGGUUACGUAGAGGGGAUGUUGAAUUAGUAAGUGUGCGUGAUUGUUUCUCUUUACCAUGUGUUAAAUCUUAUGUUGGGAUUGUUUGCUAAUUUUUUUGUCAUUGAGCCUCUAAUUCCAAAGCUUAGUCAAUUUAGAUAGUUGGGUGGUUCUUGAAUUAAAGUGUUCAUUAUCUAGUUUAAUCGACAUGUGUUAUAAAGUUGAAAUAUUGUAAUUAGACUGUUUCAUGAAAAUUUAUUGGUUCUUUUGCUUGGUAAGAAUAUCUUUCUUAGUUGUUUUUUUUCCUUUCAAAAAAAAUUAAUAAAUUAAUAAAAAUACUCAUUGAUGGCUCAAGUUAUGAGUGAAAAUUUCAUAAAUGUGACUAAAUUUAGUAACUGGGAUGAGGUGCUUGCAUUGUCAUCUCAUCUAGCGUAAAAAGGUUUGAGUGACGAACUAAAAACUUGCAAACUCUCAGCUAACUGAGCCGCCAUGAGUAGGGCAAAAUGGUUCGUGUAGAGACAUUUCAAAUUGAGUAACCGGGGUAAAGUGCUUAGGUUGUCAUCUCACUUCACGUAAAAAGGUUUGGCUAUAUCCCAAAUUUACUGUAUAAUUGUUUGAGAAUAAAUACCUUACAAAUUUUGGUUCAAUUGCAAUUUAGUGAAGUGAUUUAAUUUACAUUUUUGAAUUCUAUGACACUUGUUGAUUAAACUGCAUAUUUGAACACUUAUUCAUUUGCCUAAAUUAUUUACAUUGAUCAUGGUUGCAAAAGAGAGGCUUGAUUUCUGAUAAAUUAUUGGACAAUUUCUAAUGUAGGAACAUACAAAAGCUUGAGGACAAGCAUAGGCUAAGUAGGGGGAUUAGAUAGCAUGUUUAUUUUGUAUAUUUUACAUGUUCAAAUCAAUUAAUUCUUGAAUUAAUUUCUUUUAAUUGGUAAUUUUAUGUUUCAAAUUUUUCAGGAACGAAAUUCAGAAUCCUUAAAUAAAAAAACAAGCAGAAAAAGACUGAUUAGAUAGCAAUCAAUAAAAGGGGUCGAAUUGGAAAUUUUGAGACAUUUAAGGGCUAAUCAGAUUUUUAACUUUGUAAAAGCCAUAUUUAGAAAAGAAAAAUCUAAUUUUGAUUUCAUGUAAUUAGUGGUUAGGUGGGUUAGCUAAUUUUAGUAUAUGGUUUAUGUAUAAAUAAGGGGUAUGAUGGACUUGAAAGGACACACUUGGCACUUGAAUUCACUUGAAAUUGAAAGAAAUUAUUUUUUCCCUUCUAGUUUCAUGUGUCAGUAAGCAUACUGCCAUUCCAUUUUCAUUUCCUUAUUCCUUGGCAAAAUUAUUUAAUUGCUUUCCAAGUCCCUUCCUUUUCGAACUUCCACAAUUUCCUUAAAAACCAUUUCCAUACACCAACUAAGCGCGAUUAAUUUCAUGCUCACUAAAAUUCUAACUUAGCUUUAGGCCGAUAUUCUUUCCGGUCAAAAAUCAUGAGAAAUGGAUCCACACUAAAAAUAUUUCAUAACGGUAUUCACCAUCUCUCCGGAAUAUUUGGAUUGUACAAAUUCAUCCCUUAAAGUUAACUCGAUUUCAACAUAAAGCGCGUGUUGGGUUGGAGUCGUUUUGGCGUACAGUUGAGAAGUCGAGUCAAUCGUGCUGUGUUCGGAUUCCCACGAACAAAUUGGCGUAUCCUAAUAGGGUCAUACUAGUGGGUUUCUCGUCAAGGGAGAUAGUGAUUGAAUUUAAAUGACCUACGCGGUUGAGGCCGUUGAUUCGAGUUGAGUUCUUCAGAACAUAAGGCUACUGAAGUCUUGAAUUGCGAACGUGUGUAUCGUGGUUAGACAAUUGGUAAGAGUUGAUUUAUAGGUCGUAUCAGAAUCAACUACGAAAAGAAGAAUUAGAGGUUGGGACAUUAACUAGCUUAUGGUUUGGAGGAGAAAACUCAUUUUCAAGGAUCGAUUCAAAAUUGGAAUUAACCGAGUCUAAGGCUAAGACUUUAUAUUAUUGCUUACGAUGUUCAACUCUAUUUACUUAUUUUAUUUUUGAUUAAUAUAAUUUCUAGAAUAUGAAUCCUUUAUUUUGACUGUCUGUCAAUUUACCCGUGAAUGCACAAAAUUUAUUCCCGGGACUGAGGAUAAACUCAAAUGCAUAUAACCCAAUUAGCUUUUUAAAUGAAUAAGCCGCUCUGAUUAAAACAAAUGAGUUGAUCUAUCAAUCGAAUAAUAGUAUUUCAGAAUAAUUCGUUCAUAAUCCCCUCACACCACCGUAUAGAUAGAACAAUACCUCAAAUAUCAAUAGUGCAAUCUGAGAUAAAAGAGAAAAACCAAAUGUAGUCCCAAUAAUAACCAGUGCAGUAAUACAAUUUCUAUAAUCUGAUAUCUAUAUCACCAUGCUCCUAUGAUUGAACCAGGAAUUAUAACCGUAGUAGAUGUAAUCACCUCUGGCUAAUGGAUAUCCUUUACAUAUGAAUCAUGUUUGAUAGAAUAGACCAUAAGAAUGAUAAGAAAAACAAGAUAAUGAAGUCUAAGAUGUAAAGCUUUACUGAAUUUCUGAGAAUACAACCCAUAUUGAAUGAUAAAGAGAUCAAUGAUACCCCAGAGAACAUCCAGAAGAAGAAUAUCACUCAUACGCACUGGAAUCAAUUGUGAUAGAGACAACAUAAUUUGCUUAUAUAUAAAGAAAAGCAACAACCAAUAGAAGUAGAAAAAUAACACCAUAUGAGUCUUAUUGUCGAGUAUUCUACCGAACAUAAUAGAAUAGAAUGCCAAAUAAAAAUAGAGCAACAUCGAUUAUUAACCAACCCAACUAACAAUACCUCCGUCUAACGUUAUGGUUAGCCAGCAUUCUCAUAUGAUAAAAAUCACAUCUGAAGAUAAACAAUUGUAAAUGUCUCUGAGGAUAAAAGUACAUAUAGAAUACCCAGAGGAGAUCGUUGUAAGAAACUCGACCAUAACAGUGCAUUCAGAUAUAUUUGCAGUUCAAACACUAUCCCACUAACUAGUAAAAUCAUCGAUGAUCUCACAUUAUCAUGUUUCACUUAAGAAAUCAGUUUAGAAGAAAUUAUGGUUAAUCUGUUCUUUAUAUACCAUACCUGAAUAAGUUGAUUAUCCGUGAAUAACUUCUUCUUUAACAGAAACCUUGCAUAUCCCAAAUGAUCUUCAGAAAAAUCUGAUAUCUCUUCUAAAAUUGUCUUGACUUGCUAACCAAUUCUUGACUUGGACCACAUUAUUACUAAUUCGAUCACUGAAUUCUUUAGCAUCACUUUUGCUGACUUAAUCAACAUAAACCUUGUAAAUUCCGUUGUAAAAGACUAUGCAGGUGAGUGGUGGAGAUCGUAAAGCCUCUAAAUUUGGCUCUCAUAUAUAUACACAUAACAUAACAUUCAUUAUUAACAUAACAUUAUAAAUAUUUAUUCAUACCUUUUAUGAGUUCUGACUCAUCAUAAGCAACUUUUUAAUCAAAUACUUGAGUAUCACUUUCAGCAUUAUCGGAAUUAGCUCAGUUCGAAAACAUCUCUGUUUAUAAGUAAAACAAAUCUCAUCAGAGUCAGGAGAUAUCACACUAUCACAAGUUAUAUAAUGAAAUGUAUUUUUAAACUUCAUACAUGCUACAUUUAGCCCGAGAACUGACUAAACCAUAGCUCUGAUACGACUAAAUGUAACACCCCUAACCCAUAUCCAUCGCCGGAACAAGGUUACAGAGCAUUAUCGAGAAAAUGGAACAAUAAACCAUUCAAUUCAUACAUCAAUAUAAUACAUAUUCUAAUUUCAUUCAAAUACAUUCAUAACAUCCCCUAAUCGAUCUCUUAAGGCCCUAAAAAUAUAAUAGAAAUAGUUCGGGACUAAAUCGGUAACAUUUAGAAAGUCUAGGAAAAAUUUAGAAAAAUUUAUACUGCAGGGGUCACACGGCCGUAUGACCAGGCCAUGUGGCUCACUCGGUCGUAUGAACAGGCCGUGUGGCUCACAUGGCUGAGACACACGUCCAUGUCUCAGGCCAUGUAACAUUCAAAAUAGGGACACACGGCUAUAUCUCAGCCUGUGCCCAUGCCUGUGUAACUCACUGACUUGGGUCACACAGCCAAGCCACACGCCCGUGUGCCAAGCCAUGUGCUAGACCGUGCAACUUUAGAAAAGUGACCAUUAACAACCAAUAGGGGCCACACGGCCGUGUCGCCUGACCAUGUGUGACACACGGCUGAGACACACCCCCGUGUCUUAGGCCGUGCGGACAAGAAAUUGGCCAAAAUUGUAAUAGCUCAUUUUUAUUGUUAUCAGAGCAGUGGUUUUGAGACCAUGAAUUUGAAAUUAAAAAUUUUUAUUAUUAUUUUAAUGUUUACAGCAUGUUAGUAGUGUCGUAUAAAAAUUUCGUGAAGAAAUUUGAUAGUUUUCAUGCUUAAUUUGAUAAAAGGACUAAAUCGCGUAAAGUGUAAAACUUGUGUGCUAUUAGUAAAAGGUGUUAAAUUGCUAUGGAAUUUAAAUAUGAGUGGCCUUAAAUGGUAAUUAGACCAUUGAUUGUUUAAGUGGACAAAUAUGGGCAUUAAAUUAAUUGAUUUGAAUGAUAAUUAAAAAGGUUAAAAGUGUAAAUUAAUAAAAUAAUUUAUAAUAAACUAAAGUCAAGAAAGAUGUCAUCUUUCUUCAUCUUCUUUAACAACUGAAACUAGGGCUUAAGGAAGCGAUAACCAAGCUUCAACAUUCGGCUAGUAAUAAAUCCCUUGCAUGUGAAUAUUUUUCAUCUCGUUUUUAAUAAUUUCUAUGUUUUUGAAGUCGUUAUAGCUUAAUCUAGCUAGCCCGGAGACUAAUUUGCAAAAAUUUUAAAAGUAUAGGGUUUUACCAUGAAUUUAUAUUUGUUUUUUUAUGUUUGAUAGAUGAAAAUGAAUAUUUGAUGAUAGUUGAGCAACUUUUGUAAAGGAAUUUCUGAUGAAUUUGUCUUUUAAGUAUUUAAUUGAAAAAUAGAAAAAUGUUCUUGGUAAAAAUGUGAAAUAAAUAAAACAUGGGGAUUGCUAGGGACUAAAUUAAUAUUUGGCUAGCAUGGAUGUGGACUAAAUUGCAUUAAUUUACAUUUUUAUGAGCCAGGGACUAAAUUGAAAUGAAUUCAAAAUUUUAGUGGCAAAAGCGUAAUUUUUCCAAAUUAUGAUUUUUGGAUUUAAUUGAGUAGAGUGAAAAUUGAAUGUGCUAAAUUUGAUUAUAUACGGAUUUAGAUCGGGGAAAAGAAAAAGUGUUGGAUUAAUCGAUCAUAUUUCUCUGUUCGUGUUUGAGGUAAGUUCGUUAAAUUUAAAUAGCAUUGAAUUAUGUUUGAAUUAAAAUGCUUUUGUGUUAUAUAUUUUGAUAUUAUGACUUUACGAAAAUAUCCAACGAAGUUUCGGCGACUUUCGAAUCCCAUUUGAACCUUAGGAAUAUAUAGGAUACAUAUGACAUGUCAUUAGGGGUUAUUGAGUUUCGGGUGUUGGUCUUAUACGUCCUAUCUGUAGCUGAUUUUUUGACAUGUGUUACGGUUACUUGACAGCUUGUGUGAGCAGCACCGUGUAGCUACGUCUUGGCUGGCGACUUUUGUAAGCAGACCCAUUUAUGGCUCGAGAGUGAGCAUUGAUACAAGAUACGAGAUAGUAGUGGUUUCGACUUCCCGCGUAUCCAAUAUUAUUCUAGUGGUUUAAUAGAUAAUCGAAAGCUCGUAUGGGUUGGAAGUUGUUAGGAAUUCCAUCACACUAUCCAUCAGUUACAUAGGUAUAUUUUGAAGAUUUUGAGUCAUGGUAUAAUGGCAUGUAUAGGUGUUUUGUUUAAUGAAUUUAGCCAUUAUUGGUGUGAUUGAUAAUUUAAUGUUGUGUUGGUUAAGUGAUGUUAAGGAAAUGUUGAUGGAAAUGAUAUGGUAGCAAUUAAUGGUUGGUGUGGAAUGAAUGUAGCAUGAUGUUGAUAAUG